GAUGAAGAACGUAGCGAAAUGCGAUAAGUAGUGUGAAUUGCAGAAUUCAGUGAAUCAUCGAAUCUUUGAACGCACAUUGCGCCCUUUGGUAUUCCAAAGGGCAUGCCUGUUCGAGCGUCAUUUGUACCCUCAAGCUUUGCUUGGUGUUGGGCGUCUUGUCUCUAGCUUUGCUAGAGACUCGCCUUAAAGUAAUUGGCAGCCGGCCUACUGGUUUCGGAGCGCAGCACAAGUCGCACUCUCUAUCAGCAAAGGUCUAGCAUCCACUAAGCCUUUUUUUCAACUUUUGACCUCGGAUCAGGUAGGGAUACCCGCUGAACUUAAGCAUAUCAAUAAGCGGAGGA
rnacentral:misc_RNA from 1 species